rnacentral:sRNA from 1 species
CUUGGUCCAUUUAGAGGAAGUAAAAGUCGUAACAAGGUUUCCGUAGGUGAACCUGCGGAAGGAUCAUUAUCGUAUCAAACGUGCGGAAGGCUCGCGCCGUGGCUGUCGCUGACUCUUCAAAAGUCGUGCACGCCGAAGCGUGUCCUCCUCGCACGAAAAUAUCCGACUCACCCUUUUGUGCACCUUCGCGUGGGCUCCCUUAGGGGGGCUCGCGUUUUUACACACAAACCCCUUUGUAAAAGUGUAGAAUGACCCCAUUUCUUGCGAUGUUACGCAAUAAAAUACAACUUUCAACAACGGAUCUCUUGGCUCUCGCAUCGAUGAAGAACGCAGCGAAAUGCGAUACGUAAUGUGAAUUGCAGAAUUCAGUGAAUCAUCGAAUCUUUGAACGCACCUUGCGCCCCUUGGCAUUCCGAGGGGCACACCCGUUUGAGUGUCGUGAACAUCUCAACCUUUACGGUUUUUCUUCCGUGAAGGCUUGGUCGUUGGAGGCUUUUGCUGGAGUCCCACGGGAAGCCAGCUCCUCUCAAAUGAAUUAGCAGGGUCCUCUUUGCCGAUCCUCGACGUGUGAUAAGAUGUUUUCCAUGUCUUGGGCUUCUGGCUCUGUCACCUUUUGGGACCCGCUUCUAAUGGUCUCGUCGUCGAGACAAUGUCGGGAAGGGUGUCUUUGUACGCUCGACCCCACGAGAACCCACUUGACCUCAAAUCGGGUGAGACUACCCGCUGAACUUAAGCAUAUCAAUAAGCGGAGGAAAAGAAACUAACAAGGAUUCCCCUAGUAACUGCGAGUGAAGCGGGAAAAGCUCAAAUUUAAAAUCUGGGGUCUUUGGCCGUCCGAGUUGUAAUUAGAGAAGCGUCUUCCGCGCUGGAC